AUUCAGGUAACCAUCUUCAGUUUUUUCGGUUUGAUUUAAAGGAAUUUUUUAGGCAGAGAAGCUAGGGCUUUCCGUUCCCACUCUGAAGUUUGUUCUACCUCAUCAUUAGAACUGUUUCCUUCUGCUCUUCUUCUUGAAACAAGGUCACAGAUCCACAGGCCAUCAAGAUAAUUUGAUUCAUGCUAAAGUUAUUGAACGUACGAUGGAAACCUUUCAAAAAGGAUUUCUUGAGUCUAAUAACAACCUGGGUGAUCAAAAGGAAAAAAACCAUUUAGUCUCUGCUUGCAAGAUGACUUCUUUUCAUGCCUGUCCUCCCUCUACUUGAAAUGUUUGUUUUAAAUAGGGUUUGGUUUCAGGAGACGGUGGUUUUUCGGAUUCUGAGGCUUUUAUUUCCAGGCUGCGAAGCCCUGUGUACUCAAGGUGAGCAAUUUCAAUUUCUAGGGUUAUUGAAUUGAGAGUUUUCUUUAGUUUUUCAUUAUUUUGGAGUUGAGUUUGGUAUUUUGUUUUGGUUUUAUUAUAUUAAUUAUCAUAAGCUUCUUUGAGAUUACAAGAUGUUAUUGGACACAUUACUGCAAUAGAACAAAAAGUGGCUGAUUAGCAGGCUUGAAAACGAGUGUGAAAUUACAUUCCGAAUAUUAGGUAAAAAACAUUUUAACAAAUCAUCUUCAAAAGCUGUAAAUACAAUAUAAUUACGAUUGAAGUUUUGUUUUUGGUACUUCCCUAAUCCUGUGAUUGAGUGCAGGGUAGAGCUGAAACUGGAAAAGCUUAUGUACAUGACUUUCUUUAUGUUAAUGGCAGACCAGUUCUCAUAGUGGAUGCUUCUGAGCACAUCUUUCUGCUGUGCAUGAUCCUGCCCGUCCAGAAGGGAGCAGAGAAAUACUAGGAAUCUUCAAUCUACGUUGGGUCCAGCAAAGGUAAUAGGCAUACAAAAGAAUUUUUUUUACUAUGAAAAUUAUUUUAUAAGUAAUGGAUAUGGACAUUCUUUUAGACAUUCAAGCCCCGGGCUUUCAAACUCUACAAAACAUGUUUGAUUUUACUCGAAUGAGAGUCUCCAAGGAGGAGAAAGAGAAGGAUCCGAAUGGAAAGCAAGGCACAACAUCGAACAAGCAAUCUACCUUUUUGACGUUUAUUUUCAUUUACUUAAACUUAACACCACUUCAAUAGAAAACUAAACUUUAAUUAGAGAAAGAGGAAGAGGAAACAUAGGAGUUUAUCACUACAAUGAUUUAUCGGUAAAAUCCUCAAACCCAAUUCUCAAUUUUCAGUUUUUUUUAUUUUUUAUUCUUAAUUUUUUUUCUUCACAUCAAUUAAUUCCAGUAAUGUUAGGGGCUGAAUUUUUUAGGUUAGUGAUUUUUUCGCACAUAAAUUUUCUUUCUAAUCAUUUUGGGUGAAAUAAAUAGAUAUGGGUCUUCUAUUAUUAUAGUAUUAUAGUUUUAUUUCACAAUUAAAUGACAUCUUGCUGUUUUUUGGUAGGUUUUUCUGUGAGCUUAUUCGCAUUGCAUAUUUUGUUUACAAAUGUUCGGUUUAAUGUGGUGGUAAUAUGUGCUAUGAUUACCACCAUAGUCCAACUGAUGGCUUAUUAAUUUGGUAAAUUAUUUCAGAUUUAGUGUCUGCAAACCUCAGGAAGUCUAAUAUUAAAUUGUGAAAGUUGGACUGUGGCUUGGUUCUACUUCUGCAUUUCCUCUUCAUUAAAAUGUUUACUUACCUGCUUUUAAGCGUCUUUAUUUAUGUAUCUAUUUUUUAAAAUGAAUUUGAAAGAUGUUAUGGAAAUGGGAAAGAGCAGCAGUUUGAGAACAUAGUAUGGGAACUUUGGGAAGGAAUACUCGAAAGGAAGACCGACAAUGGGUUAGCGGUAACACCCUUUUUAAAUCAUAUUCUAUUUCGUAAUAUUACACUAUUGCGUCAGGAAUAGCAACAUUUAUUUGGUGUCACGUAGAAAGUUCGUUGUUGUAUCAUGUCAUGUUUUUUUAAGUUGGAGAUUUUGUAGGUAGCCAGUUCGAGGAAAUGGCCCUCAGUUUCUAAUUACCGAGCUAAAGUUCAUGCUCAAUCACCAAAGUAGAAAUGAUUGCUUCUUUGUUCAACUCUGUUGAAUCAAAAUGAAUAGGGUUAUAAUUAGGAUAGCUUCUCUCACCACUUACAUUUACUUUGCUACAUUGAUAUUUUUGUAUUCUAUUAUCUAAUUAUAAAAAAUUUACUUCUGUUGUA